UACGUAGGGACCGAGCGUUGUCCGGAUUCAUUGGGCGUAAAGAGCUCGUAGGCGGCUGUUCAAGUCGAACGUGAAAACUCGGAGCUCAACUCCGAGCCUGCGUUCGAUACUGGAUGGCUAGAGUCUGGUAGGGGGAUCGUGGAAUUCCUGGUGUAGCGGUGGAAUGCGCAGAUAUCAGGAGGAACACCGGUGGCGAAGGCGGGAUCCUGGGCCGUACUGACGCUGAGGAGCG
rnacentral:rRNA from 1 species